rnacentral:rRNA from 1 species
UACGUAGGGUGCGAGCGUUAAUCGGAAUUACUGGGCGUAAAGAGUGCGUAGGCGGUUCUUGAAGUCCGCUGUGAAAGCCCCGGGCUUAACCUGGGAAUGGCAGUGGAAACUGGAGGACUUGAAUUGAGCAGAGGGGGGUGGAAUGCCGCGUGUAGCAGUGAAAUGCGUAGAGAUGUGGAGGAACACCGAUGGCGAAGGCAGCCCCCUGGGCCAAUACUGACGCUCAUGCACGAAAGCGUGGGGAGCAAACAGG